GAUGAACGCUGGCGGCGUGCCUAAUACAUGCAAGUCGAGCGAACAGAUAAGGAGCUUGCUCCUUUGACGUUAGCGGCGGACGGGUGAGUAACACGUGGGUAACCUACCUAUAAGACUGGAAUAACUCCGGGAAACCGGGGCUAAUGCCGGAUAACAUUUAGAACCGCAUGGUUCUAAAGUGAAAGAUGGUUUUGCUAUCACUUAUAGAUGGACCCGCGCCGUAUUAGCUAGUUGGUAAGGUAACGGCUUACCAAGGCAACGAUACGUAGCCGACCUGAGAGGGUGAUCGGCCACACUGGAACUGAGACACGGUCCAGACUCCCACGGGAGGCAGCAGUAGGGAAUCUUCCGCAAUGGGCGAAAGCCUGACGGAGCAACGCCGCGUGAGUGAUGAAGGUCUUCGGAUCGUAAAACUCUGUUAUUAGGGAAGAACAAAUGUGUAAGUAACUGUGCACGUCUUGACGGUACCUAAUCAGAAAGCCACGGCUAACUACGUG
rnacentral:rRNA from 1 species